rnacentral:rRNA from 1 species
UACGUAGGGCGCAAGCGUUAUCCGGAAUUAUUGGGCGUAAAGAGCUCGUAGGCGGUUUGUCGCGUCUGCCGUGAAAGUCCGGGGCUCAACCUCGGGCCUGCAGUGGGUACGGGCAGACUAGAGUGCGGUAGGGGAGAUUGGAAUUCCUGGUGUAGCGGUGGAAUGCGCAGAUAUCAGGAGGAACACCGAUGGCGAAGGCAGAUCUCUGGGCCGUAACUGACGCUGAGGAGCGAAAGCGUGGGGAGCGAACAGG